AACCAGGGUGACAGAAUUCAGGAUGGACACAGCAAAGAAAGAAGGAUAGUUGCAGCCCAGGCUGCAGCUGUAGCAACAAAGCCUGCCUGCCCUGGAUCCCAGCAACCUCCCUUUUCUACAUUUCCCCGGAAUGAGAGACAGCCGUGGGAACCAGAGAGGGGAUGCUCCCACACUUAUGUGGCGGCUGGAGCAAGUAUACAGGCAGAGGAGAAACCUCAUGGAAUCGAAGCCCCCCGAGAAGUGGACCUGAGAUACUGCGAGGAUCAUUCCAGGUACACAUCCCUUAAAGUGAUGGAAGAGAUUCUCUACAUGAAAAAAGUUACAUCUGCCGGGAGCCAUGCUACUCAAGCUGUGUAGCGAAGCUCAGGCAGGAGGAGACCCCCCACAAAGCAGGGGCCUUCGCAGCUGGCUCCCCCUAUUGCCUACCUUGAUUUUGUUAUUCUCCAUUGUACUAUUGGCUUUGCUUUUUGCUUGCAUUUUUUGCCAAAGACUAAGCUAACCUUUGAUAAGAAGCAUGGAAAGGAGGAGAACAAACUUCCCAGAAGCUUUUCAGGCCAGCGCUCCUGAAGAAUGGAACACGCAGGGGCCAGACGGCGAUCUCGGCAGAGAAUACCAAAACCUGCAGGUAGCUAGUCAGACAUUGACCACCCCAUCUCCACCUAAGUGGGAAUGCCCCCCUUGUUUGCAAUGCUAGUGAGAUUAGUGAUGAAGAGUUUUAUAGGAAAAUUAGAGAAAUAGAGUUAUAGGGGAAUACUGAAUGGAAUAACUCUGUCUGACACUUAAUCUUCUCAUGUUUUCUUCCCUCUGCUAUUUCUAUAGUUUUUCUUCUUCCUUCCUAAUUAAAGCCCUUUACUAAAAUUCAUGCCUUCUAUGUGAAAUUACCAAAUACCAUAAUUUUCCAAGAAGUAAAGAUACCU